rnacentral:lncRNA from 1 species
AUUGAUGAGGCCCCUCAUGGGGGGGGGGGGGGUCCUAGUAAUCACAUAAUCACCAUUUUUUUGCCAAUAUAAUCACAUAAUCAUUAAAUAUUUGCUUAUCUUUAGUAAUCAAAUAAUCAUAAACUAAAAAUACAGUCCUAGGUAAUCAAAUAAUCAUGAAUUAUUUGGCUUAAUAAUCAAAUAAUCAUUAAAAAAACGGCCAAGUAAUCACAUAAUCAAAAACCCCAUGAGGGCCCUCAUUGA